CAUUAGUACAGGCAUAUGUUAGGAUCACACUAUAUGCCAGUAGGAAAUUCUGGAACAGAAAUAACAAUAUCUUGCUGACCUUGACUGAAUUCUAAAAGAUAAACAAGAUCUCACCUAGGCAUUAACUGUAUGGGAGAUCACAAAGAAAGCACAGGAAUUUGGGAACAAAAUUUCAGAAGAAACCAGUGGCAAUUCAUCUCCCUAUUGUUGCUAAAGAAAGCUGCAUAACUUCCACGAAGCAACUGGAACUUGAAUUUGACUCAAAGAGGACAUAGUUUUAUACAUGAUUUACCUCCCAGGAGAAAUCUGUUGUUUACAACUUUAUCCAUAAUUUGCAAUUAUGCAUCCUUUGCAAUUAUGCGAACAUCUUACAAAUAUGUAUUAUUGCUGCAUAGGUUUAUAAUGGUAUUCUGGGUAUUGAAUGUUGCUGAUGCUACUGAUGAGUUGAUAGCUUACCAAGUAUACAGAUGAGUGAAGGAAUAAGACGGUCAGAAAUAAGAAAUGAUAAAAUGGAAUAAACUGUAGAAUAUGUACUGGUAAUGAGACCAUCUAGAAUCAUACCAAUGGAAAUAUUGUUCCAUGAAAUGAAGGAUUAGCACAUUUUUCUAUCUACAGGAAGUGUUUUUUUCCUCCCAAUAUGAACUAUCAUAUAUUACAUUUUAUUGAUUGACCAAUUGAUUUUUGUAUUUAUAUAUCACCAAAUUCAACAAAAAUUAUCUGGUAGAUUACAACACAGAAACAGAAUAAAAACAUAAAAGCCAAUAAAAAUACAAGCAAAAUAAAAGCACUUAAUGUAAGCCUAA